UUUCACGAUUUUAAUAUUUACUACAGUGGAAAGAAGGCAGUCGUGAAAAAAGCAAAUACUUUAUUACCAUUGCUUUUCACCUGCAAGAUUUAUAGGACGUUGGCAACACGAUCUGUUGUCAAUAACGAACUACAGAGGUCAUUCGUAUUAUUCACAAUAGACGUCGCCCGUUCCCACUGCUGUAAAACUUUCGAUCCUCGGCCUGUUACCAAAGUAGUUAUCGUGAUAAAGAAGUAAUAUAAAUUUCACAGAAGUUAUCCCCAGAAUAUGAAAACCAAAGUUUGACUGUUGUUAUGGUACACAUUAGGCCUAUGGGAUAGAAUAAGGAAAUCAUUACCUAUUUUCUAAAUCACACAAGUAAGAAUGUAAUUCAACGUAAAACGUAUUUUUAACAACUAACCGUUGUACAGGAAUAUGUGAUUUAACCCACCCCCACUACAACUUUGAUACAGGAUGGGUUUUAACUGUGGGUAUAACAGUUUAGCGAUAUAAGGCCAACUGCACCACAUAAAUCAAGAAACAUGGUAGAUAUAGAUUGACAAUGCCCAUGAGAGUACUGCAAUGAGUAACUGGUUACAACUGCAUUUUUCAAAAGGGGUGAUAACCCUGACAUCACUAGCAUUGUUACAAAACUCAAGCCACCCAAACAACCACAACCUGCUAAGAAAGUAAAUGGUCAUACUGAAAAAAAUAA